rnacentral:lncRNA from 1 species
CGGGAGGGUCACCAACUCUGAGCUCUUCCUGGCCCUGCAAAGUGGGCCCCCCACUCCCACUGAGUGUGGUGACAGUCGGGGGUGUGCCGAGCACCUCGCCCAGCCAAGGUGACAAGGCCAACACCAGAGGCACAGGUGAGUGGUGACGGCAGCCACCAGUGCGUUCCCAGUAGUGGUGUGUGUGUGUGAGUGUGAGAGUGUGUGAGUGUGAGUGUGUGUGUGAGUAUGUGAGUGUUAGUGUGUGUGAGUACGUGUGUGAGUGUGAGAGUGUGUGUGUGAGAGAGUGUGUGUGAGUAUGUGAGUGUUAGUGUGUGUAAGUAAGUGUGUGAGUGUGAGAGUGUGUGUGUGAGAGACUGUGAGAGUGUGUGAGUGUGAGUGUGAGUAUGUGAGUGUUAGUGUGUGUGAGUACGUGUGUGAGAGAGUGUGUGUGAGUGUGAGUGUGAGUGUGUGUGUGAGUAUGUGAGUGUUAGUGUGUGUAAGUAAGUGUGUGAGUGUGAGAGUGUGUGUGAGAGGGACUGUGUGAGAGUGUGUGUGAGUAUGUGAAUGUGAGUGUAUGAGUGUGAGUGUGUGUAUGUGUGUGAGCGUGAGAGUGUGUGUGAGAGAGUGUGUGUAUGUGAGUGUGUGUGUGUGAGAGAGAGUGUGUGAGUAUGUGAGUAUGUGUGUGUGAGUGUGUGUGAGUAUGUGAAUGUGAGUGUAUGAGUGUGUGUGUGAGUGUGUGUGAGUGUGUGUGUGAGAGUGUAUGUGAGAGUGUAUGUGAGUAUGUGAAUGUGAGUGUAUGAGUGUGUGUAUGUGUGUGAGUGUGAAAGUGUAUGAGUGUGAGUGUGUGUGUGAGAGUGUGUGCGAUUAUGUGUGUGAGAGUGUGUGUGAUUAUGUGUGUGAGUGUGAGAGUGUGUGUGAGAGAGUGUGUGUGAGUAUGUGAGUGUGUGUGUGAGAGAGUGUGUUGUGUGUGUAUGUGUGUAUGUGAGUGUGUGUAUGUGUGUGUAUGUGAAUGUGAGUGUAUGAGUGUGUGUGUGUGAGAGUGUGUGUGAUUAUGUGUGUGAGAGUGUGUGUGAUUAUGUGUGUGAGUGUGAGAGUGUGUGUGAGAGUGUGUGUGAGUAUGUGAGAGAGUGUGUUGUGUGCGUGUGAUUAUGUGUGU